GACGAACGCUGGCGGUGUGCUUAACACAUGCAAGUCGAACGGAAAGGCCCUGCUUUUGUGGGGUGCUCGAGUGGCGAACGGGUGAGUAACACGUGAGUAACCUGCCCUUGACUUUGGGAUAACUUCAGGAAACUGGGGCUAAUACCGGAUAGGAGCUCCUGCUGCAUGGUGUGGGUUGGAAAGUUUCGGCGGUUGGGGAUGGACUCGCGGCUUAUCAGCUUGUUGGUGGGGUAGUGGCUUACCAAGGCUUUGACGGGUAGCCGGCCUGAGAGGGUGACCGGCCACAUUGGGACUGAGAUACGGCCCAGACUCCUACGGGAGGCAGCAGUGGGGAAUAUUGCACAAUGGGCGGAAGCCUGAUGCAGCAACGCCGCGUGCGGGAUGACGGCCUUCGGGUUGUAAACCGCUUUCGCCUGUGACGAAGCGUGAGUGACGGUAAUGGGUAAAGAAGCACCGGCUAACUAUGUG
rnacentral:rRNA from 1 species